CUCUUCCUCCCGGCCCCGGACUCCGGUGCCCCCGGGACGCGGCGCUUUACAGACGCAUACGGGAGCAGCCCCGGUCCCCCGCCCCGCGCGGCCGAACAAAUGGUUCUCUCCAGAGCUUGUGAUUAUACGUUUUAUUAGACUCGGGAGGGGUAUGGCAGGGCUUCAUCAGUGUUCCUUCAAAUUAAAAAAAAAAAUACAAAAGCUACGUAGAAAACGUCA
rnacentral:lncRNA from 1 species